AAAAUGUAGUUGCAAUCAACGUCUGGGAAAACUUAAUAUUUACAACUUUCAACAACGGAUCUCUUGGUUCUGGCAUCGAUGAAGAACGCAGCGAAAUGCGAUAAGUAGUGUGAAUUGCAGAAUUCAGUGAAUCAUCGAAUCUUUGAACGCACAUUGCGCCCCUUGGUAUUCCAUGGGGCAUGCCUGUUCGAGCGUCAUUUGUACCUUCAAGCUCUGCUUGGUGUUGGGUGUUUGUCUCGCCUCUGCGUGUAGACUCGCCUCAAAACAAUUGGCAGCCGGCGUAUUGAUUUCGGAGCGCAGUACAUCUCGCGCUUUGCACUCAUAACGACGACGUCCAAAAGUACAUUUUUACACUCUUGACCUCGGAUCAGGUAGGGAUACCCGCUGAACUUAAGCAUAUCAAUAAGCGGAGGA
rnacentral:rRNA from 1 species